rnacentral:SRP_RNA from 1 species
GCCGAGCCAGGCAGCGCUGGCUUGUCACCCGAGCGGGGGCAUUAGGGUGGCGGGAUAUACCUGGCGUUGGGGUGCAUUGUAGGGGCCCAUGUUCCAUCGGUGCAACAAGUGCAGAGGGCGCCCCUUCGCCGGUGCUCACGCGCCAGACUC